UACGUAGGCAGCGAGUGUUGUUCGGAAUUACUGGGCGUAAAGAGUGUGUAGGCGGUGCUCCCAGUCUGUUGUGAAAUCUCCCGGCUUAACUGGGAGGGUGCAGCGGAAACUAGAGUGCUAGAGGGUGGGAGAGGUAAGCGGAAUUCCUGGUGUAGCGGUGAAAUGCUUAGAUAUGACAUAGAACACCAAUUGCGUAGGCAGCUUACUACACGAUCAUUGACGCUGAGGCACGAAAGCGUGGGGAGCAAACAGG
rnacentral:rRNA from 1 species